GCGCUAUCACCCCCUCCUCGCCCUCGGCACUCUUUGGAGGGAGAAGAGCUCCAACCUGGGUCCUGUUGGGUCCAAGCGGUGGGGUGAUAAAAAUGUUACCAAGAAAAGGAGAGAUGGUUUAAAGGAGUGCAAAGUCUGAAACACUGGGAACCUACUGGAAGUGAUUCCCCAGAAUUCUUACUUUCUUUUUUGGAAGUCUACCAAGCAGGUCAUCUAGAAGAAGAGAAGUCAUUUAUGUUCUGAUGUGGAGGCACAUUUAUAUGGACUGCAGAGGUGAAAGUCAUAAACUUUGGUCCAUGAAAACUUGCCGAUAGAGGAGAUUUAUACCCUGGAUUGAAAUUCUUUUUCACAGAAGUUCCAUAUGAAUAUUCCAGUCCUCAGGAAAACCUGUUUCUUCUGAGAGCAUAGUUGAAGAAUAUCAUGCCCCAAAGUGUGUUUUUCACACUGAUUCGGAUUUUGAACCAAACACAUAUUAAAAUAGAACUAUGAAGAGAUAAUGCAAAGAGCUGGAGUGCACCUCGGUUUGAUCCCUGGAGCUGCAUGAUUCCCUAAAUGCUACAGGAGUGACUCCUGAGCACCAAGUUGCAAGGACUGCCAGGUGUGGACCGCAAACAAGCAAACAGCACAGAGGAAAUAAGGAGGCCUUACUCCUGGCUCUGCAUUCAAGAAUCUCUCCUGGCAGUGUUCAGGAAAUCCUAUGUGGUGCCAGGGAUUGACACCAGUGAGCUGCAUACAAAGCAAGUGACUUACCUGCUGUAAAUCUCUGUGGCCCAGGACUUUUGAAAUUGCUGUUUCCUUGCAUGAAAAAUUCUUCCAGAUCUUCCCAACUACUUCCUGGCAUUCAGAUCUUAACACAGACAGAGACUACUGUUAAGUGAUUCUUAACAGUAUCAGGAUGUAACAAGAGAAGCAAACAAUUUAAGAGAAAUUACAGAGUCAUAUUGCUGCAUUGGGGUCACACCCAGCAAUGCACAGGAGUUACUCCUGGCUCUACACUCAGGAAUCUCUCCUGGCAGUGCUUGAGGACCAUAUGGGAUGCUGGGAAUCGAACCCAGGUCGGCUGCGUGCAAGGCAAAUGCCCUACCCGCUGUGCUAUCACUCCAGCCCCUAUACCUGUUAAUUUUUUAAUAUAAAUAGUUAUCUAUCAUUUAAAAUGAUUAUUUAGAUUAUUUUAUUGUUUAAUAGUCAUCUCUUACUUCCAUUCUCCCUGUAGAAGAGCGAUUAGAGAGCCUCCUGAAUGUAUGCAAGGUGUGAAAUUCAUCCCUUUAAGCUACCUCUCCAGCAUUAGAUAGUAUUUUAUAUAUUUUAUAAAAUAUUAAACUAAAUCUCUUUAUCCAUAUAUCUGUAGAUGCAUAUAUUAUCACACACAAAUUCACACACAUAUAUAAUUAUAUUGGUUCUUGUUCCUCCGUAAA